rfam:Schistosoma haematobium scaffold1621_26, whole genome shotgun sequence.
AUCCAGCUGACGAGUCCCAGAUAGGAUGAAACACGCGUCUUGGAU